CUGAAAUCAGUAGUGAAGUAUGUUAUUUAAUUCGAUAUUCCACGAAAAACCUUACCAUAAUUUGUAUAUUAUUUUUAAUCUUAAUUGGUCAAAAAUAUUACAAGCGUUACACGGCUGUCUUUAGUUAAUGUCGUGAGAUUUUGGUUAGUUCCAUAAAAUUAACAUAAACCCUUGCUUUAUUUUUAUAUUUUAUUUUAUAAAGCAGUUCGCCUUUAUAUUGGUUGAUAUAUGGGACCAAGACAAGUCAUCAUGACCUUAAUAUUGUGGGCUAUAGACGUGCCACAUAACCCUAUACAAAGAGAAGCCAAAAUGUGAAUUUGAGCUAAUCUCAAAAGUAGGAUAUAAUACGGAUUGUAGUCUGUAACUCGACUACAUGAAGAAGGAAUUACUAGUAAUCGUGAAUCACCAUGUAGAUUGUAGUCUAUAACUCGACUACAUGAAGAAGGAAUUACUAGUAAUCGUGAAUCACCAUGUCACAGUGAAUUUAUUCUCAG
rnacentral:ncRNA from 1 species